UAUUGGGCAAUGCCCGAAAGGGUGACCCAGCAACGCCGCGUGGAGGAUGAAUGCCGUAAGGUUGUAAACUCCUGUUAGAGGGGAAGAAAAAUUCCGAUCGAAUCGGAAACUGACUGUACCCUCAGAGAAAGCCCCGGCUAACUACGUGCCAGCAGCCGCGGUAAUACGUAGGGGGCAAGCGUUGUCCGGAUUCACUGGGUGUAAAGGGCGCGCAGGCGGGUUAGCAAGUCAGAGGUGAAAUCCUACAGCUUAACUGUAGAACUGCCUUUGAGACUGUUAAUCUUGAGUAUGGAAGAGAGAGAUGGAAUUCCAGGUGUAGUGGUGAAAUACGUAGAUAUCUGGAAGAACACCAGUGGCGAAGGCGGUCUCUUGGUCCAUUACUGACGCUUAGGCGCGAAAGCGUGGGGAGCAAACAGG
rnacentral:rRNA from 1 species